rnacentral:rRNA from 21 species
UUUCCGUAGGUGAACCUGCGGAAGGAUCAUUGUCGAAACCUGCC